rnacentral:rRNA from 1 species
CCUACGGGAGGCAGCAGUGGGGAAUAUUGGGCAAUGGAGGCAACUCUGACCCAGCAACGCCGCGUGAGCGAUGAAGGUCUUCGGAUUGUAAAGCUCUUUAAGCGGGGACGAAGAAAGUGACUGUACCCGCAGAAUAAGCCUCGGCUAACUACGUGCCAGCAGCCGCGGUAAUACGUAGGAGGCAAGCGUUAUCCGGAAUGACUGGGCGUAAAGGGUGCGUAGGUGGUUUGGCAAGUUGGUAGCGUAAUCCCGGGGCUCAACCUCGGUGCUACUACCAAAACUGUUGAACUUGAGUGCAGGAGGGGUGAAUGGAAUUCCCAGUGUAGCGGUGGAAUGCGUAGAUAUUGGGAAGAACACCAGCGGCGAAGGCGAUUCACUGGACUGUAACUGACACUGAGGCACGAAAGCGUGGGGAGCAAACAGGAUUAGAUACCCUUGUAGUC